rnacentral:rRNA from 1 species
GAUGAACGCUGGCGGCAUGCUUAACACAUGCAAGUUGAGCGCUGAAGGUUGGUACUUGUACCAACUGGAUGAGCAGCGAACGGGUGAGUAACGCGUGGGGAAUCUGCCUUUGAGCGGGGGACAACAUUUGGAAACGAAUGCUAAUACCGCAUAAAAACUUUAAACACAAGUUUUAAGUUUGAAAGAUGCAAUUGCAUCACUCAAAGAUGAUCCCGCGUUGUAUUAGCUAGUUGGUGAGGUAAAGGCUCACCAAGGCGAUGAUACAUAGCCGACCUGAGAGGGUGAUCGGCCACAUUGGGACUGAGACACGGCCCAAACUCCUACGGGAGGCAGCAGUAGGGAAUCUUCGGCAAUGGACGAAAGUCUGACCGAGCAACGCCGCGUGAGUGAAGAAGGUUUUCGGAUCGUAAAACUCUGUUGGUAGAGAAGAACGUUGGUGAGAGUGGAAAGCUCAUCAAGUGACGGUAACUACCCAGAAAGGGACGGCUAACUACGUG